AGGAGAUGUGAUGAUACCUAUCCAUAACAAUGCUUGAUGUUGAAUAUGAUCAACAAACAUGCACUACCAUCUGAUCUCUU